rnacentral:rRNA from 1 species
GACGAACGCUGGCGGCGUGCCUAAUACAUGCAAGUCGAACGCUUCCUACCGGUGCUUGCACCGGGAAAGAAGAGUGGCGGACGGGUGAGUAACACGUGGGUAACCUACCUACAAGCGGGGGAUAACAUUAGGAAACGGAUGCUAAUACCGCAUAGAUCUUUUUGUCUCCUGGCAGAAAGAAGAAAGACGGUUUCGGCUGUCACUUGUAGAUGGACCCGCGGCGCAUUAGUUAGUUGGUGAGGUAAUGGCUCACCAAGACGAUGAUGCGUAGCCGACCUGAGAGGGUGAUCGGCCACACUGGGACUGAGACACGGCCCAGACUCCUACGGGAAGCAGCAGUAGGGAAUCUUCCGCAAUGGACGAAAGUCUGACGGAGCAACGCCGCGUGGGUGAAGAAGGUUUUCGGAUCGUAAAACUCUGUUGUUAGAGAAGAACAAGGAUGAGAGUAACUGCUCGUCCCUUGACGGUAUCUAACCAGAAAGCCAUGGCUAACUACGUGCCAGCCGCCGCCGUAA